rnacentral:rRNA from 1 species
UACGUAGGCAGCAAGCGUUGUUCGGAAUUACUGGGCGUAAAGGGUGUGUAGGCGGCUAUGUAAGUGUGGUGUGAAAUCUCCCGGCUUAACUGGGAGGGUGCGCUACAGACUGCAUGGCUAGAGUGCGGGAAGGGGGAGUGGAAUUCCUGGUGUAGCGGUGAAAUGCGUAGAUAUCAGGAGGAACACCGGCGGUGUAGACGGCUCCCUGGACCGUAACUGACGCUGAGACACGAAAGCGUGGGUAGCAAACAGG